AUCACUCCUCAGCCUCUUGUACUAUUUAUUCUUAUCAGUUUAAUAUCUAAUAUGUCUCCUAUCCGAGGAAAACAUACCAAAUAAAUGGAUUUUUAGAGCUGGAAGACAGGACAGGAGCUUGCUCUGUCCACACCAUGUAUAGUUCUCAUACUGCAGGACCUACAGGAACUGCACACCCCUC
ensembl:snRNA U2 U2 spliceosomal RNA